UUACACAUGCAAGUCGCGCGUGAAAGGACUUCGGUCCGAGUAAAGCGGCGCACGGGUGAGUAACGCGUGGAUGAUCUACCCAUGAGUUAGGAAUAACGGCUGGAAACGGUCGCUAAUACCGAAUACGCUCCGAUUUCAACUUCGGGGGAAAGGUGGCCUCUGCUUGCAAGCUACUGCUCAUGGAUGAGUCCGCGUCCCAUUAGCUAGUUGGUGGGGUAACGGCCCACCAAGGCGACGAUGGGUAGCCGGUCUGAGAGGAUGACCGGCCACACUGGGACUGGAACACGGCCCAGACUCCUACGGGAGGCAGCAGUGGGGAAUAUUGCGCAAUGGGCGAAAGCCUGACGCAGCGACGCCGCGUGAGGGAUGAAGGUCCUCGGAUCGUAAACCUCUGUCAGGAGGGAAGAACCGCCACGGUGCUAAUCAGCCGUGGUCUGACGGUACCUCCAAAGGAAGCACCGGCUAACUCCGUGCCAGCAGCCGCGGUAAUACGGAGGGUGCGAGCGUUAAUCGGAAUCACUGGGCGUAAAGCGCACGUAGGCUGCUUGGUAAGUCAGGGGUGAAAGCCCGCGGCUCAACCGCGGAAUUGCCUUUGAUACUGCCGAGCUAGAGUCCGGGAGAGGGUAGUGGAAUUCCAGGUGUAGGAGUGAAAUCCGUAGAGAUCUGGAGGAACAUCAGUGGCGAAGGCGACUACCUGGACCGGUACUGACGCUGAGGUGCGAAAGCGUGGGGAGCAGACAGGAUUAGAUACUCGGGGGGAAAUC
rnacentral:rRNA from 1 species